GAAGGCAACCAAGGCUCUCUAUCACUUCUGUUACUACUAUGUCCCAAAUGCUGUUUCAAAGAGAAAUGAAACUGCUGGGAAGGGACAUUUAUUCCAUUCACUAUGCUUUAUUGUACCUCUGCUUUAUAACUCAGCUUUCUACCGCUGUAUUUCACACAUUCUCCACCAACAAAUGCAUCACUCUAUCUGCCUCGGUACACUGUUCCGGAUACUAGUACAGAGCUUCAUGUUCAAGGGUCUUUUGGGCUGCUUCAAUCCUAUUUAUCUAUAUCUACUUAAAUACUACAUGCAC
rnacentral:lncRNA from 1 species